GGCCCUUCGGGGUACUCGAGUGGCGAACGGGUGAGUAACACGUGGGUGAUCUGCCCUGCACUUUGGGAUAAGCCUGGGAAACUGGGUCUAAUACCGAAUACACCUCAUUGGCUGCAUGGUUGGUGGGGGAAAGCUUUUGCGGUGUGGGAUGGGCCCGCGGCCUAUCAGCUUGUUGGUGAGGUUACGGCUCACCAAGGCGACGACGGGUAGCCGGCCUGAGAGGGUGACCGGCCACACUGGGACUGAGAUACGGCCCAGACUCCUACGGGAGGCAGCAGUGGGGAAUAUUGCACAAUGGGCGCAAGCCUGAUGCAGCGACGCCGCGUGGGGGAUGACGGCCUUCGGGUUGUAAACUCCUUUCAGCACAGACGAAGCGCAAGUGACGGUAUGUGCAGAAGAAGGACCGGCCAACUACGUGCCAGCAGCCGCGGUAAUACGUAGGGUCCGAGCGUUGUCCGGAAUUACUGGGCGUAAAGAGCUCGUAGGUGGUUUGUCGCGUUGUUCGUGAAAACUCACAGCUUAACUGUGGGCGUGCGGGCGAUACGGGCAGACUUGAGUACUGCAGGGGAGACUGGAAUUCCUGGUGUAGCGGUGGAAUGCGCAGAUAUCAGGAGGAACACCGGUGGCGAAGGCGGGUCUCUGGGCAGUAACUGACGCUGAGGAGCGAAAGCGUGGGGAGCGAACAGGAUUAGAUACCCUGGUAGUCCACGCCGUAAACGGUGGGUACUAGGUGUGGGUUUCCUUCCUUGGGAUCCGUGCCGUAGCUAACGCAUUAAGUACCCCGCCUGGGGAGUACGGCCGCAAGGCUAAAACUCAAAGAAAUUGACGGGGGCCCGCACAAGCGGCGGAGCAUGUGGAUUAAUUCGAUGCAACGCGAAGAACCUUACCUGGGUUUGACAUGCACAGGACGCCGGCAGAGAUGUCGGUUCCCUUGUGGCCUGUGUGCAGGUGGGUGCAUGNUUGUCGUCAGCUCCUGUCGUGAGAUGUUGGGUUAAGUCCCCGCAACGAAGCGCACCCCC
rnacentral:rRNA from 1 species